UGAGCCUUGAUGUGUAGGAUAGGUGGGAGGCUUUGAAGUGUGGACGCCAGUCUGCAUGGAGCCGACCUUGAAAUACCACCCUUUAAUGUUUGAUGUUCUAACGUGGACCCGUGAUCCGGGUUGCGGACAGUGUCUGGUGGGUAGUUUGACUGGGGCGGUCUCCUCCUAAAGAGUAACGGAGGAGCACGAAGGUUGGCUAAUCCUGGUCGGACAUCAGGAGGUUAGUGCAAUGGCAUAAGCCAGCUUGACUGCGAGCGUGACGGCGCGAGCAGGUGCGAAAGCAGGUCAUAGUGAUCCGGUGGUUCUGAAUGGAAGGGCCAUCGCUCAACGGAUAAAAGGUACUCCGGGGAUAACAGGCUGAUACCGCCCAAGAGUUCAUAUCGACGGCGGUGUUUGGCACCUCGAUGUCGGCUCAUCACAUCCUGGGGCUGAAGUAGGUCCCAAGGGUAUGGCUGUUCGCCAUUUAAAGUGGUACGCGAGCUGGGUUUAGAACGUCGUGAGACAGUUCGGUCCCUAUCUGCCGUGGGCGCUGGAGAACUGAGGGGGGCUGCUCCUAGUACGAGAGGACCGGAGUGGACGCAUCACUGGUGUUCGGGUUGUCAUGCCAAUGGCACUGCCCGGUAGCUAAAUGCGGAAGAGAUAAGUGCUGAAAGCAUCUAAGCACGAAACUUGCCCCGAGAUGAGUUCUCCCUGAGACUUAGAGUCUCCUGAAGGAACGUUGAAGACGACGACGUUGAUAGGCCGGGUGUGUAAGCGCAGCGAUGCGUUGAGCUAACCGGUACUAAUGAACCGUGAGGCUUAACCUUACA
rnacentral:rRNA from 1 species